rfam:Triticum aestivum genome assembly, contig: Triticum_aestivum_CS42_TGACv1_scaffold_644328_T_3DS-0.121752_1BL-0.080394
UAUGUACUCCCUCCGUUCCACAAUUCUUGUCUUACAUUUGUCUAAAUACGGAUGUAUAAAGUUACGUUUUAGUAUUAGAUACAUCCGUAUCUAGACAAAUCUAAGACAAGAAUUUUGGGACGGGGGAGUAUAUG